rfam:Bacteroidetes bacterium RIFOXYA12_FTLL_38_20 rifixya3_full_scaffold_297, whole genome shotgun sequence.
CCGCCCUGGGCAAGUCUCAUACGACCAGCUCCCGUCGAACCCCCCCAGGACCGGAAGGUAGCAAGGGUAGAUGGUUGUAGCGGUGCGAUGUGAGUCGCUUGCCCUCUU